GCGCUUUCCCCGCGGGACUCGCCCUGCCCGCCGGGAUUCCAGAGGCAAAACGGCUCCUGCCACGACGUGGAUGAGUGUGAGGAGGGGUCCCUGUGCAGGAACGGGAUCUGCACCAACACCCGGGGGGGCUUUGCCUGCCUCUGCCCCCCGGGGUUCCUGCUGGAUUCAUCCCGCUCCAGAUGCAUCUCCCAGCAGGUCCUGUCCGAGCAGAGGGGUCCGUGUUUCCGGCUGGUUGCCGAGGGGGGGGCGUGUGCCCUGCCCACCCUGCGCAACAUCACGCGCCAGGUUUGCUGCUGCAGCCGCGUGGGCAAAGCCUGGGGGGGCUCCUGCCUGCGCUGCCCCCCCUUCGGAUCCGAGGGAUUCAGAGAGAUCUGCCCAGCAGGUCCCGGGUACCACUACUCUGCCUCCGACCUGCGCAUCAACACCCAAUUCCUGGGCCAGGACGUCACCAGGGUCCCCCUGGGGCCCCCCCGAGCCCCCCCGA